CCCAUGGCAAGGGGUUUGGAACUAGAUGAUCUUAAGGUCUUUUCUAACCCAAAACAUUAUUUGAUUCUAAGAAAACAUUGUAGGUUUUACCAGGAAAACGUAUUUGACCUGAAGGUCUUCUCCCUGACAGUUCAGCCAGCCCCUAGAGACUUUGAAGAAUUUGAUCCAAUUAUCAUUAGAUUUACCUUGGGAAGGAUACGGACUUAGGUGGUGCCAGAAAUCUUGUGCGGUGAACUCUCCAGGAACUCCUUCCUGCACUGUUCUGACUCCAAAGCCCCAGAAACUCAAAUACCCUCAAUAGACUGCUGUGAGCUGCUCUUUUCCAUACUUUCCUUCACUUGUAGGAGCUGUUUGUUCUGACUCAGCAAUAAAUAGCAGAGAAGGGAAAUACUCUGGGAAUUCAGGUAUAUGUGAUACACAAAGUCAUGCUUCCUGAUUGUGAAGAUGACCACAAAUAAAUCCUCUCUGUGCACCCAGAUCGGAUCUUGCAUUGAAAAUCACAAAAUCUGAAUUAUACAGAGGCUAUGCAGCACUACGGUCUUUGACCAUGGAAACACAGCUCAUGAGGUCUGGAAGACUUCUGGAUCAUUAUUGCCUCCAGCUUCCUCUCCCUGUCUGUGAGUGAGGGGUUAUCACAGGUCAGCUGCAGAAUGGAAAUUGUGGCAGUAAAUUGUGGGGUAUAGACAGACAUAUCCGAGACUUGUGGCACCCAUUAAUAGAUCAAGCAAGCAUGUGCAGCUGUGUUUUGAUCAGUGGAAAGGUUUCCUGGCAUCUGAGAACUGAAAUCACCUUUUGGAUGUGACAAGCGCAUCUGAGUAUCUAGCAAGUGAAAAUCAAGGGUUUCUGUAAAGAAGGAGUAAGAACACCUACCACAAAAAAUUAAAAGUCAUCACACCUCACUGGAGGUUUCCCUGGUUUAAUGAGCAACUCAGACAACCUAGAGAGGACAAGAUGAUGGG